CGGUCAAAUCACGCUGAAACACCGGUUCUCGUUCGAUAACCGAAGUUAAGCAUCGUAGAGCCUGGUCAUUACUUAGAUGGGGGACCGCUUGGGAACACCUGGUACUGUAAG
rnacentral:rRNA from 1 species